AAUCCAGAUACAGGAGGAGAGGAACCUGUUUGAGGUUUGAGAGGACAAUUCUGCCCUCAGUUACACUGUCUUGAACUACAGCAGAUUGGUUAGUAACAAGAUACAGACCUAAUUCUGAUUAUUUUUACACCUGCAAAGCCAAUGAGUAUGGGAGAAGGAGCAGUGCUUUACACUGGCACUGGUGCAACACCAACCACUGCUGCUGUUCAGUGUCCUGGAUAUUUUCUCUGCAAGAUGGUUUCAAACGCUUGAAAAAGAGAGCUGAAAACAAAGAAGUGAAAUACCAGCCUCGUGCAGACUUUAAAAUGAAAAAUAAAGUGUCCAGGAAAUCCCUGCAAGGUUUUGGACUGAACAGGAAGACACAUUACAGAACUUUUUCAACCUUUUUUGAUUUUUUUUCAACUUCAAGCAGCAGAACACCAAAAUGCUAACAGGCAGGGCAAAUUGAGCAAAAAUAAAAUAUUCUGUGGACUGGGUUGGAGAGUAAGGCAGUGUUUAUUUUUUUAUGCUUUACACUUUGGCCAGCAUUUAUCCUGAAUGAAGGCAGCAAAUGUUAUUAGAUUUCAUGGAAUGUAAAUAAACAGUUAUUGGUAAAUACAUUUUGGUGGUCUGCUUGUUACACUGCAUGUCAGGAAAACUAUAGGGAACUGGCAGGAGUUCAGACGUCUUCAAGGAACACAGAAAACAGACAUAUUUUACUAAUUAUAGCUAACAAAAACACUCUGAGAUUACAGUUAAAUUACAUUAAAACAUAACUUGUUGGCAAAGGCUGUGAGCAUAAUGCUUUGCCUAUAUCUUUCUGUAUAAUGUUUCAUUGGAACAGAGCAGAACAUCAGGAAAGCCUGGCACAGCCCGCAGCACCGCGGCCCUCGGGGCUGGGCCAGCUGGGCACCAUGUCCUGCACGAGCUCCUGGAUGUCCAGAGGGGUUCCUACGAGGGCCAUGGCCUGGAUUUGUCUGCAGCAGGGACUGCAGGGGCCAGAUCCCACACCUCCAUCUGCACCUGCACAGGAAGGAGACUGGACUGGCUGUCCUGAUGCCCACGAUGCCCAGGAGCUGCUUGGGGCAUGGCUCUGAGGGGCUCGAGCCCUGCUCACACCUGGGGAGGGUCUUUGGCUGAGCACCCCCUUUGCUGCUCCCCAGCUCCACUCCCACUGCCUGACCCAGCCCGUGGCACUCCUGCUUCAUCACCAGAACAAGCCAUUCCUGCAGGAGCAGAGCCCAGUAGGGAAGGGAGAUCUUUCUGCAGAAAUCAUUAUGUUUUAAUGACGUCCAGGGUUUUCAGAACAAAUGGGCUGUUGUGAGUGAGUCCCCUCCACCACUGCAGCUCUGCAAGGGGCAUGCCUGGACAUCAGUGCAGGGAUCCUUGCAUUACACUGAGUUCAAUUACAAACUGUUCACUUCA